GUUAAGCGACUAAGCGUACACGGUGGAUGCCCUGGCAGUCAGAGGCGAUGAAGGACGUGCUAAUCUGCGAUAAGCGUCGGUAAGGUGAUAUGAACCGUUAUAACCGGCGAUUUCCGAAUGGGGAAACCCAGUGUGUUUCGACACACUAUCAUUAACUGAAUCCAUAGGUUAAUGAGGCGAACCGGGGGAACUGAAACAUCUAAGUACCCCGAGGAAAAGAAAUCAACCGAGAUUCCCCCAGUAGCGGCGAGCGAACGGGGAGCAGCCCAGAGCCUGAAUCAGUGUGUGUGUUAGUGGAAGCGUCUGGAAAGGCGCGCGAUACAGGGUGACAGCCCCGUACACAAAAAUGCACAUGCUGUGAGCUCGAUGAGUAGGGCGGGACACGUGGUAUCCUGUCUGAAUAUGGGGGGACCAUCCUCCAAGGCUAAAUACUCCUGACUGACCGAUAGUGAACCAGUACCGUGAGGGAAAGGCGAAAAGAACCCCGGCGAGGGGAGUGAAAAAGAACCUGAAACCGUGUACGUACAAGCAGUGGGAGCCUCUUUUAUGGGGUGACUGCGUACCUUUUGUAUAAUGGGUCAGCGACUUAUAUUCUGUAGCAAGGUUAACCGAAUAGGGGAGCCGAAGGGAAACCGAGUCUUAACUGGGCGUUAAGUUGCAGGGUAUAGACCCGAAACCCGGUGAUCUAGCCAUGGGCAGGUUGAAGGUUGGGUAACACUAACUGGAGGACCGAACCGACUAAUGUUGAAAAAUUAGCGGAUGACUUGUGGCUGGGGGUGAAAGGCCAAUCAAACCGGGAGAUAGCUGGUUCUCCCCGAAAGCUAUUUAGGUAGCGCCUCGUGAAUUCAUCUCCGGGGGUAGAGCACUGUUUCGGCAAGGGGGUCAUCCCGACUUACCAACCCGAUGCAAACUGCGAAUACCGGAGAAUGUUAUCACGGGAGACACACGGCGGGUGCUAACGUCCGUCGUGAAGAGGGAAACAACCCAGACCGCCAGCUAAGGUCCCAAAGUCAUGGUUAAGUGGGAAACGAUGUGGGAAGGCCCAGACAGCCAGGAUGUUGGCUUAGAAGCAGCCAUCAUUUAAAGAAAGCGUAAUAGCUCACUGGUCGAGUCGGCCUGCGCGGAAGAUGUAACGGGGCUAAACCAUGCACCGAAGCUGCGGCAGCGACGCUUAUGCGUUGUUGGGUAGGGGAGCGUUCUGUAAGCCUGUGAAGGUGUGCUGUGAGGCAUGCUGGAGGUAUCAGAAGUGCGAAUGCUGACAUAAGUAACGAUAAAGCGGGUGAAAAGCCCGCUCGCCGGAAGACCAAGGGUUCCUGUCCAACGUUAAUCGGGGCAGGGUGAGUCGACCCCUAAGGCGAGGCCGAAAGGCGUAGUCGAUGGGAAACAGGUUAAUAUUCCUGUACUUGGUGUUACUGCGAAGGGGGGACGGAGAAGGCUAUGUUGGCCGGGCGACGGUUGUCCCGGUUUAAGCGUGUAGGCUGGUUUUCCAGGCAAAUCCGGAAAAUCAAGGCUGAGGCGUGAUGACGAGGCACUACGGUGCUGAAGCAACAAAUGCCCUGCUUCCAGGAAAAGCCUCUAAGCAUCAGGUAACAUCAAAUCGUACCCCAAACCGACACAGGUGGUCAGGUAGAGAAUACCAAGGCGCUUGAGAGAACUCGGGUGAAGGAACUAGGCAAAAUGGUGCCGUAACUUCGGGAGAAGGCACGCUGAUA
rnacentral:rRNA from 1 species